UGACAGUGAUGUUCUCAUUAUCCCGAAGCUGAUCAUUUUUUGAUGUAAAAACCCUUUAUUGGAUCUGAUUGCUGAGUU